UAGGGAAUCUUCCGCAAUGGGCGAAAGCCUGACGGAGCAACGCCGCGUGAGUGAUGAAGGUCUUCGGAUCGUAAAACUCUGUUAUUAGGGAAGAACAAAUGUGUAAGUAACUAUGCACGUCUUGACGGUACCUAAUCAGAAAGCCACGGCUAACUACGUGCCAGCAGCCGCGGUAAUACGUAGGUGGCAAGCGUUAUCCGGAAUUAUUGGGCGUAAAGCGCGCGUAGGCGGUUUUUUAAGUCUGAUGUGAAAGCCCACGGCUCAACCGUGGAGGGUCAUUGGAAACUGGAAAACUUGAGUGCAGAAGAGGAAAGUGGAAUUCCAUGUGUAGCGGUGAAAUGCGCAGAGAUAUGGAGGAACACCAGUGGCGAAGGCGACUUUCUGGUCUGUAACUGACGCUGAUGUGCGAAAGCGUGGGGAUCAAAUAGG
rnacentral:rRNA from 1 species